AAUGAAGAAGCAGUGGGGAGGAUAGCUGGGCUGUUACGAAAUUUUGGUUAAGCUCUUACUAUUGGGGUCAUUGAAACAAUGUGGCAAAUUGCAAGAUAUUUCAGCUUCCAGACUGCUAAGAAUGACUACCAGAAGCUACAGCAGAAGCUUUGCCUCUCCAGAGCACCUGAGUUUGGAGGACAGGGGGGAUGGUGACAAGACUCUGCUCUCCAGGACCCUCCCAGCUCAAGAAAUGUGGCUUGUGCCAGCUUCAAUUUUGCCCGCCAAGCUUUCGAAAAUGAAGUAUCUGACUGUACAACCCUUUCCACGUAUACCAGCUCAAGAAGCCAAGACUAGGAGAAUUCAAAAAGACAUAUGCACGUCAGUGAUCAAUAAAGCAGAAUUCCUAACAGCCAGGACUUAAAAACAACCAAAAAGUCUAUUUUGAGUGCGUGAGCAGAUAAGGAACACGUGCUAUAAAUACCCAGUGGAAUUCUAUUCAGCUGUGAACAAAGACGGACGUUUACCAUGUGGGAUAUGGAUGAAAAUGCAAAUGGUUAUGCUAAGAAAAAUAAGUGAGAAAUUUGAAAGAUGGUCUCUGGAUGUCUUCACUCAUAUGUGAUAAAGAAAUAAAACAAGUGACCAACCCAAGUGCAAGAAAAUGUCUCCAACCCUGAAUACAAAAUAGUGA